rnacentral:rRNA from 1 species
UGAGUGCGAGCUUCUACGGAAGCGAAGUUGGUGACGUCAAGCUUCCAAGAAAAGCCCUAUACCUGUUAAGGCAUGAUUACCUGUACCCGAAACCGACACAGGUGGGGUGGUAGAGAAUACCGAGGGGCGCGAGGUAACUCUCUCUAAGGAACUCGGCAAAAUGACCCCGUAACUUCGGGAGAAGGGGUGCCAGCGCGAGCUGGUCGCAGUGAAUAGGCCCAGGCGACUGUUUACCAAAAACACAGGUCUCCGCUAAGUCGCAAGACGAUGUAUGGGGGCUGACGCCUGCCCAGUGCCGGAAGGUUAAAGAAGUUGGUCAGCGCAAGCGAAGCUAACGACUGAAGCCCCGGUGAACGGCGGCCGUAACAAUAACGGUCCUAAGGUAGCGAAAUUCCUUGUCGGGUAAGUUCCGACCCGCACGAAAGGCGUAACGAUCUGGGCGCUGUCUCGGAGAGAGGCUCGGCGAAAUAGAAUUGUCUGUGAAGAUGCGGACUACGUGCACCCGGACAGAAAGACCCUAUGAAGCUUUACUGUAGCUUGGUAUUGUGCUCGGGCUCGCAAUGCGCAGGAUAGGUGGGAGGCUUUGAUCCAUUGCUUGUGGGUGAUGGUGAGCCAAUGGUGAGAUACCACUCUUUGCGAGCUAGGGUUCUAACGGUCACCCGUCAUCCGGGGACCGGACAGUAUCUGGUGGGCAGUUUGACUGGGGCGGUCGCCUCCUAAAAGGUAACGGAGGCGCGCAAAGGUUUGCUCAGGCUGGUUGGAAAUCAGCCGACGAGUGUAAAAGCAGAAGCAAGCUUGACUGUGAGACCUACAAGUCGAACAGGGAGGAAACUCGGCUUUAGUGAUCCGACGGUUCUGAGUGGAAGGGCCGUCGCUCAACGGAUAAAAGUUACUCUAGGAUAACAGGCUGAUCUCCCCCAAGAGUUCACAUCGACGGGGAGGUUUGGCACCUCGAUGUCGGCUCAUCGCAACCUGGGGCUGAAGUCGGUCCCAAGGGUUGGGCUGUUCGCCCAUUAAAGCGGUACGCGAGCUGGGUUCAGAACGUCGUGAGACAGUUCGGUCCAUAUCCGGUGCAUGCGCAGGAAUAUUGAGAGGAUUUCUCCCUAGUACGAGAGGACCGGGAGGAACGCACCUCUGGUGUACCAGUUAUCGUGCCAACGGUAAACGCUGGGUAGCCAUGUGCGGAGUGGAUAACCGCUGAAAGCAUCUAAGUGGGAAGCCCACCUCAAGAUGAGUAUUCCCAUGGCUUAAGCCAGUAAGGUCACGGGAAGAACACCCGUUGAUAGUCUCUAUGUGGAAGCGCAGUAAUGCGUGAAGCAGAGGAGUACUAAUAGACCGAGGGCUUGACCGC